GGAAUGCAGCCCAAAGCGGGUGGUAACGUCCAUCUAAGGCUAAAUACGGUCACGAGACCGAUAGCGACCAAGUACCGUGAGGGAAAGUUGAAAAGCACUUGGAGAGAGAGUUAAAAAGUACGUGAAACCGUCGAGAGGCAAACGGGAGGGCCUGUCGGGUCGUUCGGUCGCUUUCAGGCGGGCCGGAGACCGGGUCGCGGGAUCGGGGACCUUCGCGGGCCUCGACUCGCGUCGCCGGCCGACGGCUCGGCGCACUAGCGUCGGACGAGGGCCGCGACCGGCUGGGCGGCGGGCAAACGGCUCCGGGCAAGGUAACCCCGCUUCGGCGGGGUGCUACAGGCCCGGUGCGCGCAAGGGUCGCCGCCCGGUCGAGGAGAGAUGCGCGCCGCACCUGCCCCGUUCGCGGGGCCGGGGAAGCCGUUCGAGCAGCGUCGUGUCGCGGUCCGGGACUGUCCUCAGUCCCGGGUCGUCUCGGCGCGGUUCCGAGCGGUCGCUCCCUCGCGAGGUGCCGCGGGUCAGCGGCUGACGCCAGCCACCUUCCCGACCCGUCUUGAAACACGGACCAAGGAGUCUAACAUGUGCGCGAGCCGCGGGGCAGUACGAAACCCGUAAGGCGAAAUGAAGGUGAACGCCGGCGCGGUCCGGCGGAGGUUGGAUCCCGUCCCGUCGGGGCGGGCGCACUACCGGCCGAUCUUCUCCGCCCUGUCGGCGAGGUCGAGCGAGAGCGUGCAAGUCGGGACCCGAAAGAUGGUGAACUAUGCCUGAGGAGGUUGAAGCCAGAGGAAACUCUGGUGGAGGACCGUAGCGAUUCUGACGUGCAAAUCGAUCGGGGAAUCCC
rnacentral:ncRNA from 1 species